AGUGCGUGGGACGGAUUCCGCACCAGGUAGCAGUGACCAGCACCUUCCAUGCUGCAAGUCAAGGACAUUGAUUUGCUACACACCUACACUCGGGCUACGAAAGUACAGGCUUUCACCGGUGAACCCACAGACUCACGAUCGUGCCCCACAGCCCCCACCUCUAUCGCUACUGAAAUUGCUCCUCUCUCAUAACUUCAUGUCCACAGGUUCAUUGCCUCUCGUUUGGAUGUUCAGCAGGGCUGCUGCUGCCUGCUGCAGAGGCAGAAUCUACAGGAGGUGCUGCCUCAUGAAGGCAGCCGGCAUCAUCAAAGUCCUACACCACCCUGGCCAUGCUAUCAUCUCGCUGCUACCAUCAGGAAGAAAGUACAGGAGCCUGAAAACCGUGACCUCCAGUUUCAGGAACAGCUACUUCGCAGCAAACAUCCUGCACAACACCAACCUCAACCCAACCUCAGCACCAAAAUAUUAUGGACCUUGUAGAGGUUGCAUUUGGGAUUUUGAUUUUUGCACUUGUGAGGGUCUGGUUACCUAGUAUUACUGACUGUAAUUACCAUUCCAUUAUUGAUUAUUGUAGUUAUACUGGAUGCUUAAUAUGUAAUCGUUUAACAACGUUUGUAGUGGUUUGGACUAUGAUAUGCAUAUGCCUCUAAUAAAAAUUUAUAUAUAAAAAAAAGAAGAAUAA